rnacentral:rRNA from 1 species
GAUGAACGCUGGCGGCGUGCUUAACACAUGCAAGUCGAACGGAAAGGCCCAAGCUUGCUUGGGUACUCGAGUGGCGAACGGGUGAGUAGCACGUGGGUGAUCUGCCCUGCACUUCGGGAUAAGCCUGGGAAACUGGGUCUAAUACCGGAUAGGACCACUUCUUGGAUGUUGUGGUGGAAAGUUUUUUCGGUGUGGGAUGAGCUCGCGGCCUAUCAGCUUGUUGGUGGGGUAAUGGCCUACCAAGGCGUCGACGGGUAGCCGGCCUGAGAGGGUGUACGGCCACAUUGGGACUGAGAUACGGCCCAGACUCCUACGGGAGGCAGCAGUGGGGAAUAUUGCACAAUGGGCGCAAGCCUGAUGCAGCGACGCCGCGUGGGGGAUGACGGCCUUCGGGUUGUAAACGCCUUUCGCUAGGGACGAAGCGUUUUGUGACGGUACCUGGAGAAGAAGCACCGGCUAACUACGUG